GACGAACGCUGGCGGCGUGCUUAACACAUGCAAGUCGAGCGGAAAGGCCCUUUCGGGGGUACUCGAGCGGCGAACGGGUGAGUAACACGUGAGUAAUCUGCCCUUCACUCUGGGAUAGCCACCGGAAACGGUGAUUAAUACCGGAUACGACCAAUCCCUGCAUGGGGUGGUGGUGGAAACUUUUUGGGUGGGGGAUGUGCUCGCGGCCUAUCAGCUUGUUGGUGGGGUAAUGGCCUACCAAGGCUUCGACGGGUAGCCGGCCUGAGAGGGUGACCGGCCACACUGGGACUGAGACACGGCCCAGACUCCUACGGGAGGCAGCAGUGGGGAAUAUUGGACAAUGGGCGGAAGCCUGAUCCAGCAACGCCGCGUGAGGGAUGACGGCCUUCGGGUUGUAAACCUCUUUCAGCACCGACGAAGCGAUCCUUUGGGGAGUGACGGUAGGUGCAGAAGAAGGACCGGCCAACUACGUGCCAGCAGCCGCGGUAAAAC
rnacentral:rRNA from 1 species